AUUCUGUCACUCUCUCUCUUUGGUCUCGUGUCUCAUUAGCGCCGCCAUUCACUCUCCGUUCUUCACUCUGCCGUCGUCCUUGCGUUCAUCCUGCCGCCCUUAAUCGCCGUGAUGGAACCUUCCUUCGGUUGGAAGGAGUAUCUAAGCGACGAGGUCAUUCCCAAUUUCAAAGAUUCUCUCACCUUCUUCGGUGAACCAUCGCCGGUGUACUACCAUUUCUCCAUGUCGCAGACGAUGACGACGGGCCCCCAAGAGUUGUGGCUCGGUGCAUCUGAGAUCGAAGAACCUAGAGAGCUUAGGGCAGAUUGGAUCUACAGGCCGCCCUUGCCCCGCAAGGAUGAAAAGGGAACCCUUUUUCUGAGCGAGCAAAACCCUAGAUCUAUGGCCAAAUCGAAGGAAUCGGAAGGGUAAUCGGACGAUUGGUGGCUCACUGCAUCCGAAGCCCACCAUCAUUUGCUCGCCAUACUACUUUCCCCCUUAUUUUGGCCCAAAGACGACAAACGGUUCGCCGAGAGACGUCGAACUUGAGUUCGACAACCUUCAUUUUACCUCGUGGUGGCUUGCCAUUCUUGUUGUCAACGAUCAAGAACUGAAUUAGUGCAGCUCUUUCCUCACUUGUCAAGUCUUUUCUUCUCAUUUUCUAUUUUUUGGAUGUAAUAGUAGAAUGAUUUAAGAAUGUAGAAUGACUCUCUUUUAUAGAGAAUAGCUAUUGUGCAUUUUGUAGAGGGAAACAAACUUGGUGUAAUUCGAAAAAUUUGGUUGAAAUGAAAAUUUUGGUUUCCA